rnacentral:rRNA from 1 species
CCUACGAGGGGCAGCAGUGAGGAAUAUUGGUCAAUGGGAGAGAUCCUGAACCAGCCAAGCCGCUUGAGGGAAGACGGCCCUAUGGUUUGUAAACCUCUUUUGUCGGAGAACAAAACCCGGGCCGUUUCCCGGACUGCGUGUAUCCGAAGAAAAAGCAUCGGCUACCUCCGUGCCAGCAGCCGCGGUAAUACGGGGGAUGCGAGCGUUAUCCGGAUUUAUUGGUUUUACAGGUUGCGUAGGAGGUCCGUUAAGUCAGCGGUAAAAUUGCGGGGCUCAACCCCGUCGAGCCGUUGAACCUGGCAGACUUGAGUUGGCGAGAAGUACGCGGAAUGCGCGGUGUAGCGGUGAAAUGCAUAGAUAUCGCGCAGAACUCCGAUUGCGAAGGCAGCGUACCGGCGCCAGACUGACGCUGAGGCACGAAAGCGUGGGGAUCGAACAGGAUUAGAUACCCUAGUAGUC